rnacentral:rRNA from 1 species
GAUGAACGCUGGCGGCGUGCCUAAUACAUGCAAGUCGAGCGAAAAGACGAGGAGCUUGCUCCUUUGUCGUUAGCGGAGGACGGGUGAGUAACAUGUGGAUAACCUACCUAUAAGACUGGGAUAACCUCGGGAAACGGGCGCUUAUACCGGAUAAUAUAUUGAACCGCAUGGUUGAUUAGUGAAAGACGGCUUUGCUGUCAGUUCUAGAUGGAUCUGCGCCGCAUUAGCUGGUUGGGAAGUUAACGGCCUACGAAGGCAACGAUGCGUAGCCGAAGUGCGAGAGUGAUCGGCCACCUUGGAGCGGGACCGCGGUCCAGAGUCCUACGGGAGGCAGCAGUAGGGAAUCUUCGGCAAUGGUCGGGAACCUGACGGAACAACGCGACGCGAGAGGUGGAGGUGUUCGGUUCGUGAUGCUGGGUUUUUGGGGAUAAACAGAUUUGGAAGUUACUAUACACUUAUUGACGGUACCUAAUCAGAAAGCCACGGCUAACUACGUG